AGGCUGGUAGUGUAAAAUGGGCUAAAUCUUUGUAUAUAUAGCAGUAAUGAUGUACUGAAACAUCAGUGGUGUGUGUAGUAUGAUCUAUUAAAGGCCUGUUUAGUUCCCCCAACCAUGCCAAAACCAAAUAUUGUGCACUAUUUGCCAAAACCAAAUAUUCAGAUAUGAAAAUAGUACGGAUAUUUUCUGACCGUAUUCG
rnacentral:lncRNA from 1 species